ACAAAUUGUGACCCGGAUCUCGCGAAUAUAUCGAUUCCAGCCAACGAUGACACUAUGACUUCAAUUCGAUUGAUUCUUAACAAAUUAGUAUUUUCAAUUUGUGAGGGCCGUUCUCUCUAUAUAAGAAAUCUUCGGGUCAGGCGCUGA
rnacentral:rRNA from 1 species